rnacentral:rRNA from 1 species
AUUGAACGCUGGCGGCAGGCCUAACACAUGCAAGUCGAACGGUAACAGGAAGCAGCUUGCUGCUUCGCUGGCGAGUGGCGGACGGGUGAGUAAUGUCUGGGAAACUGCCUGAUGGAGGGGGAUAACUACUGGAAACGGUAGCUAAUACCGCAUAACGUCGCAAGACCAAAGAGGGGGACCUUAGGGCCUCUUGCCAUCGGAUGUGCCCAGAUGGGAUUAGCUAGUAGGUGGGGUAACGGCUCACCUAGGCGACGAUCCCUAGCUGGUCUGAGAGGAUGACCAGCCACACUGGAACUGAGACACGGUCCAGACUCCUACGGGAGGCAGCAGUGGGGAAUAUUGCACAAUGGGCGCAAGCCUGAUGCAGCCAUGCCGCGUGUAUGAAGAAGGCCUUCGGGUUGUAAAGUACUUUCAGCGGGGAGGAAGGGAGUAAAGUUAAUACCUUUGCUCAUUGACGUUACCCGCAGAAGAAGCGCCGGCUAACUCCGUG